GUCACCCUUAUGGUUUUCAGUUCAAAAAGUUUGAAGAGAUUGAUAUGGAGUUGUCUCAAUCUGCGUUAACAGUUGAUGUUAUUGGAAACGUCGUAUGGUGUGGAGACUUGGAUAUUUUCAAAGGGAAAUCUGGUAAAGACACCAAGAGGCUUCAUUUGGAUCUUCAAGAUUUGUAUGGUAAGGUUUUGCGAUGCACUUUAUGGGCUGAUUAUGUUGUUCAAGUGAGCAAUUAUAUCAGUAACCAUAAGGAAGAAGAAAGUGU